AGAAUCAACGCUGGCGGCGUGCCUAACACAUGCAAGUCGCACGAGAAAGGGGAGCAAUCCCUGAGUAAAGUGGCGCACGGGUGAGUAACACGUGAAUAAUCUACCUCCGAGUGGGGAAUAACUGAGAGAAAUCUUGGCUAAUACCGCAUAAUACCCACGGGUCAAAGCAGCAAUGCGCUUGGAGAGGAGUUCGCGGCAGAUUAGCUAGUUGGCGGGGUAAUGGCCCACCAAGGCGAUGAUCUGUA
rnacentral:rRNA from 1 species